rnacentral:rRNA from 1 species
AUUGAACGCUGGCGGCAGGCUUAACACAUGCAAGUCGAGCGGAGCGAGGGUGCUUGCACCUUAGCUUAGCGGCGGACGGGUGAGUAAUGCUUAGGAAUCUGCCUAUUAGUGGGGGACAACAUUCCGAAAGGAAUGCUAAUACCGCAUACGCCCUACGGAGGAAAGCAGGGGAUCUUCGGACCUUGCGCUAAUAGAUGAGCCUAAGUCGGAUUAGCUAGUUGGUGGGGUAAAGGCCUACCAAGGCGACGAUCUGUAGCGGGUCUGAGAGGAUGAUCCGCCACACUGGGACUGAGACACGGCCCAGACUCCUACGGGAGGCAGCAGUGGGGGAUAUUGGACAAUGGGCGGAAGCCUGAUCCAGCCAUGCCGCGUGUGUGAAGAAGGCCUUUUGGUUGUAAAGCACUUUAAGCGAGGAGGAGGCUACCUGGAUUAAUACUCUAGGAUAGUGGACGUUACUCGUAGAAUAAACACCGGCUAACUCUGUGCCAGCCGCCGCCGUAAGAC